rnacentral:rRNA from 1 species
GAUGAACGCUAGCGGCAGGCCUAAUACAUGCAAGUCGGACGGGAUCCAUCGGCGAGCUUGCUCGAAGAUGGUGAGAGUGGCGCACGGGAGCGUAACGCGUGAGCAACCUACCUCUAUCAGGGGGAUAGCCUCUCGAAAGAGAGAUUAACACCGCAUAACAUCAACAGUUCGCAUGUUCAGUUGAUUAAAUAUUUAUAGGAUAGAGAUGGGCUCGCGUGACAUUAGCUAGUUGGUAGGGUAACGGCUUACCAAGGCGACGAUGUCUAGGGGCUCUGAGAGAAGAAGACCCCACACUGGUACUGAGACACGGACCAGACUCCUACGGGAGGCAGCAGUAAGGAAUAUUGGUCAAUGGGCGGAAGCCUGAACCAGCCAUGCCGCGUGCAGGAUGACUGCCCUAUGGGUUGUAAACUGCUUUUGUCCAGGAAUAAACCCAGAUACGUGUAUCUGGCUGAAUGUACUGGAAGAAUAAGGAUCGGCUAACUCCGUGCCAGCCGCCGCAGUAACAC